UUAACUCAAGUUUGUUGGAGUUGAAAAGUUUGCGUACGUUUGUCGUUAGGGGCGCUGUUUCAAUUGCAUAAAAAUUUAAGUUA
rnacentral:pre_miRNA from 1 species